CCCUAGCCAUUUACCAACAUCCUGCUUUCAAGGAUGUAAUAAUGUGGACGUGUUGUUGAGUUGAGUGUCUUUACCUCUAGGGCAACAUGGCAGGUAUAAUGGGUGUCACUAUAUUUAUAUAAUUUGUUUCGGUAGCCGUCGCUCUUGGGUCCUCUGGAGCCUCAUCAUCAACCUUGACAGUGACUCCAAUGAAGGCAACCACCAGGAAUACCCCAACAUUGUCUGUCACCAUCCCCACAGUGGCCCCUGCCAUGCCAACCAGUAGGACAAGUUCAUCAGUCAGUGAAGCACCUAAUACAGAUCCUACUGGUGACACUAGAGUCCCAAUGGAAUCAUCAACUUCAUCACCUGCAACUGAGCCUUCCCAAUACUCUCAGCCACUAACUCCAUCACAAUCAUCCAAUGGCAGCACCACCACACAAACCUCUACAGGUUUUACAGCUGACACUACUAUGAAUCAGACCCUAACUGGAAUAGUUGGUUAUGACUCAACAUCCUCAAUCUUCUCAUCAACUUUGUCGCCAAGCUCUGAUUUUACGACAGGGAACAUGAGCUCAAGCACAGAAAGUGAUGGGAGACAUGUCUUAUCAAGGAGUCCGGGCCUCGUAGCAGUCCUCUGCAUAUUCUGCAUCUGUCUGGGUCUUCUGCUGGCCGUUGGAAUUGCAAAGCUCAUUACUCCCAGAGGUUCAACAUUUCAGAGGCUUGAAGAUGUGCCAUUGGGCAAAAUAAAUGAAGAGUCUCCAUUUGCCCGUUACCCUGAAAAACAAUUCUGAAAGAAAACACAUCAUGAGAGAAGGUAUUCUAUUUGGGGUUCAGACAGUGUUGUUCAUGAGGACGUGUCACCCACCAUCAUGUUUAUGUUCCUGUUUUUGUUUGUUUAAUUUGUCUGGCUGCUGGAAAGUGACGUGUGUUUGAAGGAAGUCAGUAUAGGCACUAAAAGCAAUCCUGUGAUGUGGUAAAGAAUAUCUCCUCCCAGGUUGGUCAGCAGCAUACUGAAGUCGAUCGUUGGUACUGUUCAUUCACAGGUGGAUGGAUGCAUCAAGGAACUGAAUACAGAAGAUGCACAGACAAUGUCUGCGUUUACACAGGUAGCCCAAUUCUGAUCUUUUGCCAAAUUUUUAGCGAAAGAUCUGAUUUGUCAAAAAUACCAAUUAUUGGCACAAUAUCAGAAUUGGUCUGCCUUUAUAAACACAGCCAAUGUGUCAGGUAUCACUAGAAAUAAAGCUAUGAAAAAAGCUAUAAUAAAGCCAAAUUCUCUGUUUCUUGAAAAGACUAUGACAAACAGGCCUAAUUUUUGUAUGGGUUGAAAUAAAUAAAUGAUUGCAUUGAAUUGUGUUCUCUUUUUCUCCAGAUGAGAUGAGGUGUUAUAUAUUGGAUCAAGAUACACUGAGUAUAAAAACAUUAAGAACACCUGCUCUUUCCAUGACAUAGACUGACCAGGUGAAUCCAGGUGAAAGCUAUUAUUGAUGUCACUUGUCAGUGUAGAUGAAGGGGAGGAGACAAGUUAAAGAAUGAUUUUUUAAGUCUUGAGACACUAGAGACAUGGAUUGUGUAUGUGUGAGGGUGAAUGAGGAAGAAAAAAGAUUUGUGUCUUUGAAUGGGCUACGGUAGAAGCUGCUAGGCUCACCGGUUUGUGUCAAGAACUGCAAUGUUGCUGGGUUUUUCAUGCUUAACAGUUUCCCAUGUGUAUCAAGAAAGGUCCACCACCCAAAGGACACCCAGCCAACUUGACAACUGUGGGAAGCAUUGGAGUAAACAUGGGCCAGCAUCCCUGUGGAACACUUUCGACACCUUGUGGAGUCCAUGCUGUUCUGAGGGUAAUGUUUGGUAUACUCAGUGUAUGUCAGCUAGUAAAUCAGUU
rnacentral:lncRNA from 1 species